AUACGUAGGGGGCGAGCGUUGUCCGGAAUGAUUGGGCGUAAAGGGCGCGUAGGCGGCGCGGUAAGUCUGGAGUGAAAGUCCUGCUUUCAAGGUGGGAAUUGCUUUGGAUACUGCCGCGCUUGAGUGCAGGAGAGGUUAUCGGAAUUCCCGGUGUAGCGGUGAAAUGCGUAGAGAUCGGGAGGAACACCAGUGGCGAAGGCGGGUAACUGGACUGCAACUGACGCUGAGGCGCGAAAGUGUGGGGAGCAAACAGGAUUAGAUACCCUGGUAGUCCACACUGUAAACGAUGAAUGCUAGGUGUAGGGGGUAUCGACCCCUUCUGUGUCGCAGUUAACACAAUAAGCAUUCCGCCUGGGGAGUACGGCCGCAAGGUUGAAACUCAAAUGAAUUGACGGGG
rnacentral:rRNA from 1 species